UACAGAGGUCCCAAGCGUUGUUCGGAUUCACUGGGCGUAAAGGGUGCGUAGGCGGUCGGGUAAGUCUGAUGUGAAAUCUCACAGCUUAACUGUGAAACUGCAUUGGAUACUAUCCGGCUCGAGGAAUGGAGGGGAGACUGGAAUACUUGGUGUAGCAGUGAAAUGCGUAGAUAUCAAGUGGAACACCAGUGGCGAAGGCGAGUUUCUGGACAUUUCCUGACGCUGAGGCACGAAAGCCAGGGGAGCAAACGGG
rnacentral:rRNA from 1 species